AGAGCGAACGCUGGCGGCAGGCCUAACACAUGCAAGUCGAGCGCCCCGCAAGGGGAGCGGCAGACGGGAGAGUAACACGUGGGAACGUGCCCUUUGGUUCGGAACAACACAGGGAAACUUGUGCUAAUACCGGAUAAGCCCUUACGGGGAAAGAUUUAUUGCCAAAGGAGCGGCCCGCGUCUGAUUAGCUUGUUGGUGAGGUAACGGCUCACCAAGGCUACGAUCAGUAGCUGGUCUGAGAGGAUGAUCAGCCUCACUGGGACUGAGACACGGCCCAGACUCCUACGGGAGGCAGCAGUGGGGAAUAUUGGACAAUGGGCGCAAGCCUGAUCCAGCCAUGCCGCGUGGAUGAUGAAGGCCUUAGGGUUGUAAAGUCCUUUCGGCGGGGUAAGAUAAUGACGGUACCCGCAGAGAAGCCCGGCUAACUCGUGCCAGCAGCCGC
rnacentral:rRNA from 1 species